UGGCCAGCCCCGUGUCCCCUAAAACCGCUGGCUGCUGCUGGGUCUAAGGUCGCGUGGUUUGUUGGGAAGCAGAGUGUGUGAUGGGUUUGCGUCGUCUGUUCUCCCGCAGAAGCUUCGAGGCUGGGGAGGGAACCACAGAACUCUCACCGGCGGUCCUGCCUCUUGAAGGGAGCUCUGCCCCGGCCCAGGGCGGGUCCCGUGGGCUCUGCUGGAGGGCUGGGACGGCACCACGAGCCGGCUUUGUGUGGUUCUCAGAGGGCUGUUCUGGAUCAAUAAGACGCAUGUGAGGCCACAACCCAGCGCGUGGCACGAGGUGGUUGCUGGAGAAUGUUGGCUUUGGUGAGGUGGAGGCAGAGGCGGGAGGAGUCGGGGUCCUGGCUCCCUCCUCGCUGAACCACUGACUCCUGUGUGCCCUUCGCAGGUCCCUGUCCCCCCCUGGAUUAGCUUGUUCAUCCUAAAACUGCCCCAGCGCGUUGGAAGGAGGUGUGACGCGUACGGUUGCCGAUCUUGAGAAACGGACCUUCCACAACUGGCAGACGCCUUGGGUGCAGCCUGGGCCCUCCUCACCUCUCGCCUGACAAGUGCCACAGCCUCUGAAAUGGUCUCACGGCUCCUAUUGCUGCCCAGGCCCCACCCCCAUUCUACCUCCACCAGAGCCAAGCCCACUUCCCAGCAAAUCCGGAUUCGGGGACAGCUGAGACCAGCCCCAGGCUCCAGCCGGAGAGAGACCUACAUCUCCCCAGAGGGCCCCUGGUCCUGCGGACAAUGGAUCCUCUGUCAGCCGGUGGCGAACAUUACCAGGACCUAAAGACUCUUUCCUAGCCCCGAGGAGAAGACACGGAACCGCAGAGGAACGAGGCCCUUGUGAAGACAGGACCACAAGCCAAGGAGGAGCAGGAGCUACCAGAGUCCAGAAGGGACCCACGGAGGCAACUGGUCCCGUCUGCACCUCGAUUUCAGCUCGGGCACGCACCCGCACUCGCGAUGCUCCUCUAGGACACAGAGGCUUUGGUGGCCAUCUCUGCAUUCAGAGGAGGGGACUCCCGUUCCAGACACCAAGGGAGAGGCGUCCCAGUGGAUGGCGCACUCAGGUGAAGGUGAGCGGCUGCCGCAUGCCAGCCUCGGGCCGCGGUCUCCCCUGGGUCCCUCACGGGAUCAGGGUGUGUGCUCCAGCCCCAGAGUCACCGAGAGCCUGUGUGAGGAGCUCAAGUCUAGACAGUCGCCAGCCACGGGGCCUCCAUCCAGAGCCCCGGCUGUGAAGAGCAGUGGGUCUGGACCCGGGUUGUGGGUGGGGCGGAGGUGGGCAGUGUUUGCCCCCCAGGGGACAUCUGGUCCCGGGGGGGUUGGCACUGGCAUCUUAUGGGUGCAGAACAGGGCUGCUGCUAAACACCCACAAGUGGGCUACCCAGCCCCACGGCGCCAAGUUGGGGAACUGGUGGGGAGGGUCCCCUGCCCCCUCUCUUUGGCGGGAUGCCUGCAGCUGCCGUGACCCCUCUCCUCUGUCUCCCAGGACUGUGUGUGGGUCAAGGAGGCCACACCCAGUCGAGACAGGAGCAAACAGAGGUGUCACGUUGGCAGGAAGACUCACCAGAGGGGGUCACCCCCACCCCCCAGUUUUCUUUCCGACUCUGGUUUCAGAUGGGCGGCCCGGGACACCUUUCCAAAGAGCAAUGAGACAGAGUGCCAAAAACGUUUCUCCACCGGAGGAAAGGGAGUUAAGCCUGCUGGAGAGCCAAGGUGGUUGAGAAGCCCAGAAAGAAGGCUUCGGAAAGAAGGAAAUGUUCAGGGCGGUGACUCUUCCCAGCGCGGAGCUGAACGCGCCGGCCAGCCCUGUACGGAGGGUCACGUAGUGGGUCCACAAGACUUUCGGGAGAAGGGCCCUGGAAACUUUCUGUUCCAGGUGGUAGCAAGGGCAGGCGACACAGGGAUGGAGGACCGAGACCUCCCCGGCCCCGCUCAGAACCUUCUCCGCAGUGUAGCUUGGAAGGCCUGAAAGAGAGCCACCAGAUGCCGAUGGGGCCAGGGGACCUCCGCCCUUAGGGGACUGAGACUCCCACCUCUCGGGGACCCACAUGGAAAGACCCCAGGAGUCCCCAGCGGCCUGAUUAGAUUCAGCCAAAUCCAGGGCCCCUCCCACACAGCCUCUUAGGCUCUGCAUCCUCUUGUCCCUGCAGGAGCCGAGAGCCUGGGACGUUCCUCCUCCCGCAGGCCCCAUGGGGCCCAGCAGAUGGUUCCUGCUUCCACGUCCCGCUCAUUUUAAAAGAUCAAGGAGCUGUGAAAAAGCCUCUCCCUCCACAUGGGAAACUCAGGCAUGGGAUUCGCAUGAAAAGCAACCCCAAGCGGCCUUGUUUCGUCUUCAGAUGCGCGCGGCUUCCUUUCCUGCAAACCGAAGAAUGACGGGCCCAGUUGCUGUUCCAUCUGCCCAGCAUUGCUGUCAGGGGCCCCGAGAGCCCCGCGCCGGCCAGGCCCGCCUCUGGGGAGGCCACGCGGCCCCAACAUACCACCCCCCGCCCCGCCGGGAUGCGGCGCAGGACUCCAGCCGCCCAUCCCCCAACUCAAGAAAAAUACCUAUGAGUGAUUCUCCAUUCUGGGCUGGCAGCCGCUCAGCUUUCAAGGAGCAAGGAAAUUAUCACGCCCGGGGGCUCUCUCCUAUCGCUCCGCGCCCAUCUGCUGCCGUGCAGCUUGCUCCAGGACCAGGGCCACUGGCCAAGGCAGUUCCAUUUGAGGAGAGAGCCCCUCAUUUCACACCACGCUGCACCCUAAGCCCGCAGACCUGCCACUGGCUCGCCAGCUCCUGCGGCCUCCCGCCGAAACGCAGGCCCAAGCACCCUGGGCAGGGAGGCCAUCCGGCUGCUGGAGCCCUGUCCACACCGCCCAGGGCUUCCCGACGGUCUCUCGGGCCGGGCCCGCUGCGCGUGGGGUCUGGGCCGUUCCCUGCCUCGGGUCUGCUGGGGGCCUGCUUUCUUCCCACCCGUGAGCCCCGCCUUUGCUCUCAGGAGUUCCUUCCCUCGUCUGCCAUUCAUUUAUUCCUUCCUUCACUCCACAAAUGUUGACAAAGCCCCCACUCUGCUUGAGCGUAGUAUAGAAGUGAGUUGGGUAUACAUAGUCCCACGGCUCUCCGGCUCUGAGAGGGAGAUAAGGAAAGGCUUGUUUUCAGUCCUUGGGGGCUGCUGCCCCUUACCUGCCCAGCGUCUGCUUUUCCUUCCUCUGGAAGCAGACUGAUUUUCCUCGGGAAAGCAUCCCCCGCCUGCCUCCGUCUGUGUGGUCUGGAGAGCUGGGCCACCUCUGGCUGUCUCAGGAGUAGGAGAUCGAGGCUGGGCCAGAGGGAGCCUCACUCCCCGGGUGAGAGCAACUCAUUGAACUGUGUGAUCUAGGUCAGGCCAAUGAGACUCAGCUCUGGACCUUUGCUGGGAAGGCCAGUGAGUCCGGAAACACUAGUCAGCAUCUGAGAAGCUAUUCCUUCUUCCAUCAAUCCAGGAAGGCUUCCCGAAGGUGGAGGUUUGGGUCUUUAAAUGACAGGAGACCCGUAGCGCAGCCAGCACUCCCAGGAAGCGGUCCACCACAUCCUGACCCAUCCACCCAAUAUUGGGUGAAGAUAGUCAAGGUACCAGAUGGUUCCAAGAAAAACUUGGUGUGUUCUAAGUGUGUGUUGCUUGGCAAGAGGGUCUGAGUCCUUUUACCAGUGUGGAAAUGGUUCCCUGCUUCUGCUCCCUCUGACCUGUGCACCUGCCCCCUAGGCCUUGCUUCCAAACCAGAUCAUGGUCUGAGUGAGAAAUGACACCUGUCGUCCCAGAGAACCACACACAGGGUUCUUCACAGAGGACUCUGGGAAGGCACUCAUUCUUCUUGGAGGGAGUCAAACUGGGUUCAAGGCCAACGCUGGCACUGGGCAGCUAUGUGGCCUCGGACAAAUAGCCUUGCUUCUCUGGCCUGCGUGGUCUCUGGGCAUCCAGCCAAUACAAUCGUUAUUUCUAAAUCAAUUAGAAACGCUCCAGCCGGGAAGCUCGGAACAAGAGCCAGAGGACAUGGGGCUGACCAGUGACCCCUUGGGAUGGUGACAACCCUCUGUCCUGUCGUGAGGUGCUCUCCCUCUGCUGGACUUUCCCGCUGCCCUGAAAGGGCCCCUCUGCUGCUCCCAAGCCAACUUCCCAACACCAUGCCUUCCCUUUUGUUUUCCCCUGUUCCAGGCAGAACAGGGUAGGAAAUUCUGUCGAAUGAAGACAGAAGUGUCUGAUGUUGCUAAUGACAUCUUAGGGAAAUGAAGCGUGAAACCACACGAGUAAUUCAGCGUCCACAUGAUGCUUUUAUCAGGGGCCCUGAAAAGAACUCCUUAGUGAGAAGAAGUCUGAUUUCCUUGGAAAGACAGCAUUCUGGUGAGCCCUGCAGGGAGUCGGGCCCCCCCACACCGAUGCAAGAUGGAGAGGACUGUGGGUCAACCUCAGGCAAAGACCAAGACACGAAGUUCUCCCCCAGCCUAGACAUACACACAUACACCCGGAGAGGAAAAGCUACAUGGGGGCUUUCACGCAGCCAACUUCAAAAGAUGCCUUGACUCCAGGAUGCUCUUAGAAUAAAACCCAAACUCCUGACUUUGGCUUCCAAGGCCCACAAGAUCUUUGGCUCUGCUCUCACCCCGCAUGUUCCCCCUCCUUUGCUACGUUACUUGUUCCGAGAAGCUCCCCCUCCCCCGAAAUAUCCCCUGUCUAGAGCAAGCCCCAUCCUGCCUCUUAGUUUUUGCCUGGCACUUGUCAAUCUCUGGACGUGCCUUACUUCUCUUCGGUUAUUUUCUGCUUCCUCCUCCUAGAAAGUGAACGGUGGGAAGGAAAAGCCUCACAUUGGUGUGUUGAUCGUUGUACCUCGCGCUGGGGAAAGCGCCUUCUGAAUCUUGCAGAAAUCUCCUUGUAGCCUGUCCUCGCUGUCAACACACGAAGAAGGAAUUUCUAGGAAGUACAACUCAACAUGGUCACACGGGUGGUCUGAACGUUGCGUUGCCCCCCCAGAUUCACUUGUUGAAAUCAAAGCACCCCAAGGUGAUGGUGUGAGAGGUGGGAACUUUGGGGGAAGACCAGGUCAUGAGGGUGCAGUCCUCACCAAUGUGAUCAGUGCCCCUCCUUAGGAAAGAGAUGGCACUGGGCUUCUGAGCUCCAGCCCCGAGAACCUGAGUGGGCCUGUGCCUUGCUCUUGGAAUUCCAGCCUCCAGGAUGUUGAGAAAGAGACUUUUGUCAUUUAUAAGCCCCCCAGUCUGUGUAUUCUGCUACAGCAUCAAAGCCAGAAUGAGACUGCAAGUCCACACCUCUGAAAACCAUCACGCGAGGUCCGCGACCGCGGCAGGACAGAGUAAGUGAGUGGUUUCUGACCCAAGUGUCAGCUCAGCCCAGCACCUCAUUCUCUCCGUGGGCCAGGCUUUGCUGACCGGCCCUCUGCCUGUUGCAAGAGAACCUUCCUCCAAACCUUCCCCAGGGCUCAUCUGGGCUGUGCCCUCUGCCCAGAAUGCUAUCCUCACCUGCCCACCUGGGUAGUCUCCAGCACGUUGGAAGAGUCAAGCUUCAGGCACUGUCUCCUGAUGGAGUCGUUUCACGCCAAGUCCAAGGGACAGCCUUCCCCUCUGUCCUCUUCCCGCUUCCUCUGUCUGGGAACAACCAACAUUCCAUGUUUCUUGUGUCUCUUUCCAGAGAUAAUCUCUCUCUAUAUACUUUUAUAUAUAUUAUAUAUAUUUCUCACGUGACGGAGG